rfam:Nicotiana sylvestris Nsyl_contig19392, whole genome shotgun sequence.
UGGACAGAUUAUUGUAUUGGACUGUAUUCACGGCGUGAAAUAGGGGAUUACACUGUUUUUAAAACGGAAAGUGAAUCAAUUAACAUAAUAGACUCCU